CGGCAACAGAUUGGCAAAACGCUGGCCGGUUCUCCCAGGAUGCUCCGCUCACCUCAUCUGGUAUAAUUUACCACCCCAUGAUGAAAUGACGAGUGGCAAUCUGUAUCUGAUCAAAUCACACAGAGAGACAGGUGUACAGGUAACUGGCGUCCUGUCUGCUGUGUGUCAGUCAUGUCUGCUGAGCUGCGGUUGAAGAAUGAGCGGUGGCGCCCCACUGUCUUCGAGGAGAGCAGGAUCAAAGGCUGCAGCAGAGAGCGAGUGUACUUUAAAUGACACAGAGAGCGAGGCGGCGUUCACAUCAGACAAUAAUCCACUGCUAAAUAAAUCCUAUGAGCAGAAAUCAA